GCCUAUUUAUAAUAGUAAAAGAAGAAUUGUAAACACAUGAGCUAGCUUAGCUUAGAUCAUACAGUAUGAGAAUAGUAGGCUCAUUUAUAUAUAGUGCGUUUUGGAGCCCUUUUCUUAUUUAAGUAGAGCCUCAUGCUUCCACUCAAUUCUCAUCCCUGUACCCACAAGAGAGAGAAACAAAUACUUGGUAUAGAGAGAGAGAAACAGAAAGAUCGAAGUGGUGUUUAGUUGAUUGUGUUCCUAGCUAACAGCAGCUGGAGGAGGAAUCCAAAGGGAUCGCAUUGAUCCCAACUUAGCUAUUUUUAUGCAAAGUCUGUUUGUGGAUCAUGCAAUCUCUUUGGAUUUAUCCUUCCGUAGCUUAAUUUAUCAUAUCAUUUAAUUCAGUUCAGUUCAGUUCAGUUUAAUUCAUUUCCCUCGUAUUUUUAACCAACUACAAACAAUUUCAAAAAGGGCUAAUUCUUCUUCUGCUGAGAUGACGAACCUUGUCUACAUAAGAUAAAAAGUUCCACAACAUCAAUAUCGUGGAUAUAAUGCAAUUAGGAAUCCGGCUCAUUACCAUUAUUAAAGCAUUUACGGCCUGUUUGGUACCGGUAAUAAACGUUGGGAAUGAGAAUAUAUCUAAGGGACGUUUGGUUCGCAAGUUUGUAUGAGGUUGGAAUCAAGAAUGAUAUCAAUGUGGUAUGAGUUUGGAACUUGAUUCUUAAUACCAUGUGUUUGGUUUGAUU